rnacentral:rRNA from 1 species
UACGUAGGGGGCAAGCGUUGUCCGGAUUUAUUGGGCGUAAAGAGCGUGUAGGCGGCCAGACAGGUCCGUUGUGAAAACUCGAGGCUCAACCUCGAGACGCCGAUGGAAACCGUCUGGCUAGAGUCCGGAAGAGGAGAGUGGAAUUCCUGGUGUAGCGGUGAAAUGCGCAGAUAUCAGGAAGAACACCCGUGGCUAAGGCGGCUCUCUGGGACGGUACUGACGCUGAGACGCGAAAAGCGUGGGGAGCGAACAGG